CCUACGGGUGGCAGCAGUGGGGAAUAUUGGGCAAUGGAGGCAACUCUGACCCAGCAACGCCGCGUGAAUGAUGAAGGUCUUCGGAUUGUAAAGUUCUUUUCUAAGGGAAGAAGAAAGUGACGGUACUCUGUGAGGAAGCCACGGCUAACUACGUGCCAGCAGCCGCGGUAAUACGUAGGUGGCGAGCGUUAUCCGGAAUCAUUGGGCGUAAAGAGGGAGCAGGCGGCCUGGAGGGUCUAUUGUUAAAAGGCAAUGGCUUAACCAUUGUAAGGCGAAGAAACCGGCAGGCUAGAGUUCUAAAGAGGAUCGUGGAAUUCCAUGUGUAGCGGUGAAAUGCGUAGAUAUAUGGAGGAACACCAGUGGCGAAGGCGACGAUCUGGGAAGAAACAGACGCUGAGUCCCGAAAGCGUGGGGAGCAAAUAGGAUUAGAUACCCUGGUAGUC
rnacentral:rRNA from 1 species